CAGUGGCACAUGGCUGUAACAUAGCACAACACAAUAUCAUUGAUUUAAGAUGAGAUGAUAAAUAUCGUUCAUUGGUCAGAGGUACUAACCAAUGUGUAAGCUUCCUCCAGGAAGUACUGGAGCAGGACUACAGUUAAGCACGUAGUCUAUCCACCCAUAGCCCUACAUCUUGCUCUAUCUUAAUUAAUAAAUUGUUUUUGUGCCUUCUAGGACUAGUUACUAUUAAUAUGGAGUUGGUCUCUGCACCCGAUCCAAGUACUCCAAGUUCCCGAAUUCCAAGUUCUCCAAACACAACAUUCCGGUUUGGUUUAAUUUACCAACUGGCCAAUUGCGUGAAGAUGCAUUUGAGUGGCGGCCUACUUUGCCUCAGGCAAUUACUGGGGAAUUACAACCUUUUGACAACCUUUUCAUAUUACCACUGUAAUAUCAUGGUAAUUGCUUUGUCAUUAAAGCUGUAAAGUUACAGUACACAUUUGUGUUUUUAAAACAAUGCAUUGUAAUAUCACAGAUGUGAAAUUGCAGUAAAUUGCUUUGAGUAUAUUUCACAGAACACUGCUGUAAUCCUUACUGUGAAAGUCAUGCAAAACUUAUGCAGAGUUCUAUUUGGAUGUAAUUAUGGUUCAGAAAUGAAAUAAAAUUUAACUCCUUCUUUGUACAGUGUCAUAUUGACAGGCCUCCUGAAAGCACGAAAUGUCACAGUUUCAUGAUCCGCCAUGAGACCGGGUUGGCGUGAAACAUACCGACGAGUUGGUAGUUUUUCCUCAGGACUCUUAGUUUUUUUCCCCCAACCAUAUUUAAGAUAUCAUCCUAGAUAUUCAAUUAUCAUCGUAGAUGAUAAUGUGUGGGCCCUUACAAUUGCCUAUACAAGGGCGCUGCACCUGUGUACGACCAAAUAUUAUAUAUUAUCUUCAUUUGCAUGUAUAGCAGGAUUCUUCAGCUCACUAUUUAUGAUGCACACAAUCACAAUUGCAGGUGCAAUUUCCGCUGCCACAACCGCUGACGAGGUGUAUUCAGUUUGACCAAUCAGAAUCAAGGUUUUCAAAUAACUGCCCAAUUACGCUGCUAUACACUGUCAACAUGAAAAGAAUCGAGGGUUGACUUAAAAUCGUGUUGUUCCCCACGUUUGCUUUAUUUUAUUUUACCGACUCAAAGUUGGCGAAGGUGGACGGCACAGACCUGAUACGAAGACAAGCACAGAAGGUCCGAUACGAAGGCCUGAGCAAUGAAGAGAGCUGUGUGGAGCUGAGUCUGCCGAGCCGAAGCAGACGUUGGCAGACGAGAAUACGGCCAGCAAAAAUACUUUGUUUUAGUGCCCAACAGGCCAUCUGGGGACUUUGAACUGCAAAACAUCCCACCAGGAUAAACGGUGUUAAAACUCCUCUCAACAUCCUGACAUUCUGGGUACCCUGGGUAUGGACAGCCAAAGAGAGGUUCAUUGGGCCCUGUGAUCGUGUCUGAAUUAAGGUAAGAAUCAUAGAAUGAAUGGCUUGUGUGUUUGGACUGGUGUUGUCCUAUUUAUCAUUGCUGUAUUUUUAAUGAGUUGUGAUGAGUCUGUUUCUGAACUAAGAUAUAGCUGUUCCCCUUUGUUUUAUUGUCACUUGAUAUCGAUACCACUCUAGCCACUUGAUAUUGGAGCUUGAUUCAGCACUAUUUGUUGUGUGUAUGGCGUUUGCACCUGGGUGGAAGCCAAAUGUUUGCAAUGGUGAUUUAAUUUCUUGCA